rnacentral:tRNA from 1 species
CAGGGAGACAACAAAAUGUUUAAUAUUAUUAUUUUGUCACCUUAGGUCGAUCGGUAUCUCACGUUUUUAAUUUAUUAAGAAUUUCAUUUCCUAAGUUUUUCUAGGUCACACCCAUUAUUUUUCCUGGGCCAUUAGCUCAGGUGGUUAGAGCGCACCCCUGAUAAGGGUGAGGUCCCUGGUUCAAGUCCAGGAUGGCCCAUAUCUCUAUGUUGGGGGUAUAGCUCAGUUGGUAGAGCGCCUGCUUUGCAAGCAGGAUGUCAGCGGUUCGAGUCCGCUUACCUCCACUGAUCACCACCUCUUCCAUAAUCGGUAGAAAGGAAAUUUUUUGAGUUGUGAUCAAAUUCUGAAAGAAUCUAGCUUCCUAAUGAAAUCAUUAAGAUGCUGGACUCAUUGAAUUAAUUUCAUUGUUUUCAGAGAACCUUGACAACUGCAUAGAUUAUUUUUAAAGACAAUAAGCAUCUUUAAUGAUGCAGAUUUAUUAUUUGUGCAAAUGCAUUAAUAACAAUUCUAUUAAGCUGAUGCUUCAAAAUUUGAAGUUAUU